rnacentral:rRNA from 2 species
UGGGGAAUAUUGGACAAUGGGCGCAAGCCUGAUCCAGCCAUGCCGCGUGUGUGAAGUAGGCCUUUUGGUUGUAAAGCACUUUAAGCGAGGAGGAGGCUACUUGGAUUAAUACUCUAGGAUAGUGGACGUUACUCGCAGAAUAAGCACCGGCUAACUCUGUGCCAGCAGCCGCGGUAAUACAGAGGGUGCGAGCGUUAAUCGGAUUUACUGGGCGUAAAGCGUGCGUAGGCGGCUUCUUAAGUCGGAUGUGAAAUCCCUGAGCUUAACUUAGGAAUUGCAUUCGAUACUGGGAAGCUAGAGUAUGGGAGAGGAUGGUAGAAUUCCAGGUGUAGCGGUGAAAUGCGUAGAGAUCUGGAGGAAUACCGAUGGCGAAGGCAGCCAUCUGGCCUAAUACUGACGCUGAGGUACGAAAGCAUGGGGAGCAAACAGG